rnacentral:lncRNA from 1 species
CAAUAAUAUUUUCCCCUUGGAGUUUGGAGAGUAAGAGUUAAGAGAGCUCAAAUCCUUUAUUAUUCUGGGCAGCUGUAAAGGAAAGUAUUUUGCGUUUGGUCGAGAGAAAUUAUUUGAGCGUGUAUUUUAAAUUGAAAGUGUUCACAAACCCAAAGUCAUCUGAAUUGAAACUAUCACUGUUGUUCACAAGCUUUAAUAUUUCCUUUAAUUUAAUCAAGGAGGGGGAAAAUUAUUACUAAAAAAAAAAUAUAAUAUAAUAACGCCCCCCCUUGUUUACUAUCUUUGCACUUUUUUAGGAAACCGAUUAUUGUACAUUUUAUUUCUAGAAAGUGAAUCAAGCCCUUGUUUAAUUCAUGUGUUGAUCUGAAUAUUGCAACUGAAACAUUUUCCAUCAAAUUUCAGUGGAAUAGCUAUUGAGUUUAUGUAAGCUCUCAAGGGUUAUUAGGCUUUCCGGUUUCUAUGGUAUUGGUAGCUGAGUUGUUGAAGCCCAAAGCUAAAGGGGACUUCUGCACGUAGCAAUAGAGACAACAUUCAAAAAUACUUACAGUAGAGAAUAAUGCAGAAAGAGUGAAAGAUAUUAUAUAAUAACAACAAUGUCAGAAACUUACUGUCUUUAUAGAAAGGGAGAGCGAAUGAAAAUACAAAUAGUGGCUUAAAGACUAUGCUUUGAUUUCUACAUUUAGAUCAAACACGUAUCUAAAUACUGCUUUUACUAAGAUUUAAACAUAUGGGUGUCUUCACUCAUGUUAGAGGCCAAGAACGUUGUCUAGAGCCAUAGGACAAAUGUGCUGCAUUCAGCAUUUGCAAAAAUGUAAACUUUAAGCUUUUCCUUCCAGCCCUGAGUGAUCCAGGAGAUGUACUUACUCUGUUUCUACCACAGCUCCAGUUUUCUUUUGAUUCCCAUAAUAGGAAACCUGGCAAUGAUGUUUAUCUCCUGAACAAGAUGCAGCACGUGCUGGUUCAAAGAGACCAGUGUGCCUCAAGAUUAUCAUUUACGCAGUGGAUGAAGAUGGCUAUAAAAAGUAAGUACAGCCAUAGUAGCUCACAAAGUAUUGACUGAGGAGGAGUCUCGAGUGGUAAUUGAUACAAAAUCUAAACCUUAGGCUUGUAAGC